UACAGAGGGUGCAAGCGUUAAUCGGAAUUACUGGGCGUAAAGCGUGCGUAGACGGUUGCGUAAGUCAGAUGUGAAAGCCCCGGGCUCAACCUGGGAAUUGCAUUUGAGACUGCGUAGCUAGGGUGCGGAAGAGGGAAGCGGAAUUUCCGGUGUAGCGGUGAAAUGCGUAGAUAUCGGAAGGAACACCAGUGGCGAAAGCGGCUUCCUGGUCCAGCACCGACGUUCAGGCACGAAAGCUAGGGGAGCAAACGGG
rnacentral:rRNA from 1 species